rnacentral:rRNA from 1 species
GUAGUCCACGCCGUAAACGAUGAGAACUAGCCGUUGGAAACCUUAGAGUUUUUAGUGGCGCAGCUAACGCGAUAAGUUCUCCGCCUGGGGAGUACGGCCGCAAGGUUAAAACUCAAAUGAAUUGACGGGGGCCCGCACAAGCGGUGGAGCAUGUGGUUUAAUUCGACGCAACGCGAAGAACCUUACCUGGUCUUGACAUCCUGCGAACCUUUCAGAGAUGAGAGGGUGCCUUCGGGAGCGCAGAGACAGGUGCUGCAUGGCUGUCGUCAGCUCGUGUCGUGAGAUGUUGGGUUAAGUCCCGUAACGAGCGCAACCCUUGUCCCUAGUUGCUAGCGGUUCGGCCGAGAACUCUAGGGAGACUGCCGGUGACAAACCGGA